rnacentral:rRNA from 1 species
AGUGAACGCUGGCGGUAGGCCUAACACAUGCAAGUCGAACGGCAGCACAGUAAGAGCUUGCUCUUACGGGUGGCGAGUGGCGGACGGGUGAGGAAUACAUCGGAAUCUACUUUUUCGUGGGGGAUAACGUAGGGAAACUUACGUUAAUACCGCAUACGACCUACGGGUGAAAGCAGGGGAUCUUCGGACCUUGCGCGAUUGAAUGAGCCGAUGUCGGAUUAGCUAGUUGGCGGGGUAAAGGCCCACCAGGGCGACGAUCCGUAGCUGGUCUGAGAGGAUGAUCAGCCACACUGGAACUGAGACACGGUCCAGACUCCUACGGGAGGCAGCAGUGGGGAAUAUUGGACAAUGGGCGCAAGCCUGAUCCAGCCAUACCGCGUGGGUGAAGAAGGCCUUCGGGUUGUAAAGCCCUUUUGUUGGGAAAGAAAAGCAGCAGGUUAAUACCCCGCUGUUCUGACGGUACCCAAAGAAUAAGCACCGGCUAACUUCGUG